rnacentral:misc_RNA from 1 species
UGGUAAGAGAGGAGCUACUAUCAAGUCAGUUAAAGAAUCCUGCAAUGCUGAAAUUUUUACAGGUAGUGAUAAAGGUCCGCCUGAUAAGGUAUUCAUUAUCGGACCUGUGAAGGAGGUGAGGAAAGCCGAAGCUAUUAUACGAGGGCAGAUGAUGGACUUCUAUUAACAAAUUCUCAAGCUGCAAAUUUAUGGCUCUGGCCUUAUACAACAAAAGAACAUCAUCCAAGAUAUGAGUCGGUUUCCAAUCUCCUGUAAAGAUCGGUACAUGUUCUGGAAA